UCGUCUCCAUCCCCAAAUCGAGUUAUCCAUCUUCUCUCAUCGAAAGAUCGGGAUUCAACCCCACGGGUUCAAAUCACACUCCAUGGUCCACAUUUUUGCUGUGAGAAGUUAGCAAGUGCUAAAUAUAUCACGGAAGCCUCAUUUAAGUAUGCAAGUUGCAAACUAGAAAUAUAAAGUGCAACACUUUCGUGUAGCGUAGAUAUACUUGUACUAAAAUUAGCAAAUAACACUCUACCGUCCACAUUUUGGCAGCACAAAGUUAAGAAGGAACAUAUCAUGGAAGCCUCAUUAAGCACGCAAGUUGCAAACUCGAAAUAUCUAAUACAAUAAUUUUAAUGUUCCAAUCAACUUCACGCGACCAUGACCUAUCAGAACUUAUCAGACGAUUCGGUGGAGGAAGCAACUCCAGCUUCUAAUUUUGUUGCUCCUCACUGCAUAUGGAAAAGAGUCUGUAACAGCUAAUGUUCAAAGCAGAAAAAUUAUAUGUAAGGCAUUGAGCCACCAAAUAUUGUUCCAUCUCUGUGGGGUCCUAUUUUUCUAGGAUUCCUGGAACUUUGAUUUGAUUUGGAAAAAGGCACUUUGAAGUCUUUUUUUGUUUUGGAACAUUGCCUCCCAUUGGUUGGCUGGAACCGAUGUACAAAUUAGCGGGUUAGGGAUUUAAUGUAUAGCUGUGCUCAACCGCUAUAGCGCCGCUAUAGCCCGCUAAUUAGUACAACGUUGUUGUAGCGGCAGCUAGCAUCAACCGCUAUAGCGCGAUUCUAACCCGCUAUUUUGUACAUAGGUUGGAACUCAUCGACAUAAUUUAUUUGAGGUCCCAUCAUCCUUUGUGGCACAAUACAACUAAUCUACGUUUAUUCCUGUCCUUUAAUUCAAUCACCCCAAAAGAAAAAAAAGUGUUGUGAACUUGACCAAAGCUCACGAAGCACAAAGUUUUCAUCAUUCUGCCACGACAGUCUAGUUCCUAAGUGAUUUUACUUUUUGAGGGAAAGGUAAAUGCUAAAUACGCAGUCAUGUUGGAGUUGGACAAAGCGUACCAACAGAGUCUUCAAGCGCAUAUCGGUGCAUCCAACUAGAAAUUAUUGAAUGGUCAUAAAAGUUGUAAAUAAGUACUUGAGAUCAGAAGCAUACCUCAAAAGCAAGCAUUCGGCACCCAUAUAUAAUAGAUAUGAGUGGAAACUUGGUCAGAAAGAAGUUGCAGAACUGGAGCAUCAGCUGGAAUAGUAGUUUCUCAUCAAACUGUUAUUAAAAAUAUUAUUACCGAAUAAACAAAUAUAGGCUCCUUCUUAAUCUUAUUUACUGUAAGAACAUCUACACAGCUGUACUUCAUAAUGUUGUCUUGAGUAAAUACAGGCGCGAAUUUAUCACUUAAUAAGUGAAAUGGUUAGCAUGUACCAUAAGAUUCUGUGUGUUCAUCCUCAAGCUAGCUGCUGCACAAGAAACCUCAUGUACUACAAUCAGGCAAGGUAUCACUAUACCACUGCCAUAUUGACAAGGUUCAACUAGGGCAUGUGCUUAAAUUACUACCUACUCCAUACCAGAGGGAUGAUGUACGAGCAUUUCUAUAUCCCCAAAUUAAUAGGAAUGGGAAAUACAUGAUGCUUGCCUAAUGAUUUGUAAAUUAAAG
rnacentral:lncRNA from 1 species